rnacentral:rRNA from 1 species
AAGCGACCCCAAGACAGGUGAGGUAACCCGCUGAGUUUAAGCAUAU